UACGAGGGGUGCAAGCGUUAUUCGGAAUCAUUGGGCGUAAAGGGUGCGUAGACGGUUUGUUAAGUCUAUUGUUUAAGACUCCGGCUUAACCGGAGAACAGCAAAGGAAACUGGCAGACUAGAGGGUGAGAGAGAGAAGUGGAAUUCCUGGAGUAGCGGUCAAAUGCGUAGAUCUCAGGAGGAACACCGAUGGCGAAAGCAGCUUCUUGGCUCAUACCUGACGUUGAUGCACGAAAGCGUGGGGAGCAAACAGG
rnacentral:rRNA from 1 species